rnacentral:rRNA from 1 species
GAUGAACGCUGGCGGCGUGCCUAAUACAUGCAAGUCGAGCGAACGGACGAGAAGCUUGCUUCUCUGAUGUUAGCGGCGGACGGGUGAGUAACACGUGGAUAACCUACCUAUAAGACUGGGAUAACUUCGGGAAACCGUAGCUAAUACCGGAUAAUAUUUUGAACCGCAUGGUUCAAAAGUGAAAGACGGUCUUGCUGUCACUUAUAGAUGGAUCCGCGCUGCAUUAGCUAGUUGGUAAGGUAACGGCCUACCAAGGCAACGAUGCAUAGCCGACCUGAGAGGGUGAUCGGCCACACUGGAACUGAGACACGGUCCAGACUCCUACGGGAGGCAGCAGUAGGGAAUCUUCCGCAAUGGGCGAAAGCCUGACGGAGCAACGCCGCGCGAGUGAUGAAGGUCUUCGGAUCGUAAAACUCUGUUAUUAGGGAAGAACAUAUGUGUAAGUAACUGUGCACAUCUUGACGGUACCUAAUCAGAAAGCCACGGCUAACUACGUG